GACGAACGCUGGCGGCGUGCUUAACACAUGCCAGUCGAACGGAAAGGCCCUGCUUGCAGGGUACUCGAGUGGCGAACGGGUGAGUAACACGUGGGUGAUCUGCCCUGCACUUCGGGAUAAGCCUGGGAAACUGGGUCUAAUACCGGAUAGGAGCCAUUUUUAGUGUGAUGGUUGGAAAGUUUUUUCGGUGUAGGAUGAGCUCGCGGCCUAUCAGCUUGUUGGUGGGGUAAUGGCCUACCAAGGCGGCGACGGGUAGCCGGCCUGAGAGGGUGGACGGCCACAUUGGGACUGAGAUACGGCCCAGACUCCUACGGGAGGCAGCAGUGGGGAAUAUUGCACAAGGGGCGCAAGCCUGAUACAGCGACGCCGCGUGGGGGAUGACGGCCUUCGGGUUGUAAACUCCUUUCGCUAGGGACGAAGCUUUUUGUGACGGUACCUAGAUAAGAAGCACCGGCUAACUACGUG
rnacentral:rRNA from 1 species